GUAAAACCCCGUCUCUAUUAAAAAUACAAAAAUUAGCUGGGCAUGGUGGUGUGUGCCUGUAAUCCCAGCUACUCGGGAGGCUGAGACAGGAGAAUUGCUUUUACCCGGGAGGCAGAGGUUGCAGUGAGCUGAGAUUGCACCAUUGCACUUCAGCCUGGGCAACAGAGCGAGACUCCAUCUCACAAAACAACAACAAAAAAAGGCUGGGCGCGGUGGUUCACGCCUGUAAUCCCAACACUUUGGGAGGCCGAGGCGGUUGGAUCACCUGAGGUCAGGAGUUCAAGACCAGCCUGGCCAACAUCAUGAAGCCCUGUCUCUACUAAAAAUACAACCAUUAGCCAGGCAUGGUGGCGGGCACCUGUAAUUCCAGUUACUCGGUAGGCUGAGAUGGGAGAAUCACUUGAUCCUAGGAGGCAGAGGUUGCAGUGAGCCAAAACUGCUCCAUUGCACUCCAGCCUGAGUGACAGGGCAAAACUCUGGCUCAAAACAGAAAAGCAAACAAACAACAACAACAACAAACAGCAAAAAAAAAAAAAAAAAAAAAAAAAAAAAGAUGGGGUGGUUCCCCUCCAGUGGCUCACACCUGUAAUCCCAGCACUUUGGAAGGUCGAGGCAGGCAGAAUGCUUGAGCCCAGGAGUUUGACACUAGCCUGGGCAACUUGGUGAAACCCUGUCUUUACAAAAAAGUACAAAAAUUAGCCUGGUGUGGUAGCCCAUGCCUGCAGUUCCAGCUACUUGGGAGGGUGAGGUGGGAGGAUCACCUGAGCCUGGGGAGGUCGAAGCUACAGUGAGCCGUGAUGGCACACCGCUGCACUCCAUCCUGGGCAACAGAGUGAGACCUUGUUUCAAAAAAAUAAAUAAAAGGCUGGACGUGGUGGCUCAGGCCUGUGAUCCCAGCACUUUGGGAGGCCAAGGUGGGAGGAUCACCUGAGGUCAGGAGUUCGAGACCAGCCUGGCCAGCAUGAUGAAACCCCGUCUCUACUAAAAAUGCAAAAAUUAGCCAGGCAUGGUGGUGCAUGCCUGUAAGCCCAGCUAUGUGGGAGGCUGAGGCAGGAGAAUCACUUGAACGCAGGAGGCGGAGGUUGCAGUGAGCCGAGAUCGGGACACUGCACUCCAGCCUGGGCGACAGAGUGAGACUCUAUCUCAAUCAAGUGAUAAAUAAAUAAAUAAAUAAAUAAAUAAAUAAAUAAAUAAAAAAGUGAAGUGUGGGAGGGAUUGCUCGGUACUCAGCAUCAAGGAUGAAAGCUGACUGCAGCCAUUGUCCCAGUUGAGUUCAGUGGACUUUUCAGUGCAGCCCCGGGAUGAAAAGUUCUUCCAGGCUCCUGUACUGUGCAUGCUCUUAAGGACAGAAAGCGUUUUCUUUGCAUCUAGACCCACUUACCCCCUGCCCCUCUGCUCAGUGCUUGUAGCUCUCUCUACACUGUUAUUUCAUCUUUUCAUCCCUGCUAAAUCUUUGCCCUGAAAAAUGCAGCUCCCUUGAUCUGAACAAAUGCUGUGCCCCACUCUGGCCCUGAGUCCCCCAUUAGAGCAUCUGGAGGAGAUACCGAACCACUUUCCAUGUUUUCUUUCUUCCUUCAUACUAAACACACUUUCCUCUUGUAUGUGCCUUGCUGUGCAAAGUGCAGUUCAUUGUUAAAGACAGAUAUAGAAACAAAUACUUACAAUAUUGUUAAAAACAAAUACAGAAACAAAUAGUUACAAUACUGUUAAAGACAGAUACAGAAGCACAUAGUUACAAUACAAUGUAGCAAAUUUUGUAAUGGGGAACAGAUUUACAAUGAAGGUUGUGAUUUCUUAUUAAGAUGGACUCCAGAGACUCUCAAAGGAGCUAUUUUUAGAAAAAUUGUGUUGUGAAUUACAUAUGCAAUUAAUAAUAAUAGCUAACAUUUCUUGAUCACAAUUUCUAGUUGCCUUGUGUGACUUAAUCCAUGUAAAUCUCAGAGUAAGCCUAAGUGGUACAUACUGUUAUCAUCCCUAUUUUUGAGUUGAGGAAAUUUAGGCUCAGAGAGAUUAAGCACACAGCUAGAGAGUGCUUGAGCCAGAAUUUGAAGCUGGAUUGCUUGUCUUAUCUCCAGAGCCUCCCUCAUAAGCACUAUGUUCCCUCCAAUAAUGGCCAGAAAGCAAUAUAAUGAAGUUUCUGUUCUUGCCAGAAAGUUUGCCAACAUUUUUUCAAACUUUUCAAACAUAUAAAACAAUAUAGGUGUGCUAAGUGUAAUGUCGAGUCCUGGAUUGGAUCCUGAAAUGGAAAAAGGGCGUUUGUGAAAAAACUGGUGAAAUCUGAAUAAAAUCUAACGUUUAGUUGUACCAGUGUUAAUUUCUGAGUUAUGUUCAUUUCUGUACCAUGGUUAUGUAAGAUGUCAACACUGGGGGGAAUGGGACGAAGGGGUAUAUGGGAACUCUUUGGACUACAUUUGCAAUUUUUCCAUAAAUUAUCCCAAAAUAAGACUUGCAUUUAAAAUGACAACAUUAUGGAUAUGAGACUUCAUUGAUAUGUUUCUCCCAUGGCCUCUUCCUAGAGAUCAUCCUUAUCCAGAAUGUGGUGUUUAUCAUUCAAAGGGCCUAACACAACUAUUACUAUACUAAAUGUCAGUCAUGAGCAAUGCAGAGGAUUUCUCAAGGCGUUUGGGUUUCAGUGAGGGAUCAGGAUUAUGGGUCUUCCGAGAGACCCUGCUCCUCUUUCAGACAGGGGCACUGCCAUAAGUCCCUCUCCCAAUCAACCCAGUUUCACUCUCACCAACUACCCAGCCCAGACUUAGGCCCACUGUUGACCCCACAAAGGAGGCCACACCCUCCCUGCAGCUCCUGUUGCUCAGCCUUCCCUAAGCUGUGCACCACCCUCUCACCCAAACGAAGGCAGCUGGCCCUGAAGUUCUCUGAGCUUGAGGACAAAAAAAGACCUCUGUGAGUUGUCAGGCUCUGUUACAGUCUGGGUCAGCAGACAAGAGUCCCAGGGCUCGGCCGUCUUCUCUAGGAGAGAAAAUAUUCGUGCCAUAUAGCGUGUUCUAAGAGUUCUCACCAGAAGCCCAGAAAGUUCUGUAUUUACUCAGCAUUCAAGGUGUGUACCCAGACCACAACGCUACCCUAGGGGGCCCAGCUCUAGGACAGGGGAUGGCCCAGAGCUCUGAAAUUUGAGGUAUUUUCUAGUAUCUAACAGUCAUUAGAAGGGCAACAGCUCUGAGACCUUAUUCAACUAUUUAUUGAAAUAUUUGUUUUUCCCCAUUGUCUAUUUAUAAAGGUAACUGGGAGGACAGAGGUUCAUAGAGGCUCUCAAAGAAGAAGCCUAGAAAACCCACCAGGGAGGGUGGGGAGGGAAGCCCUGGGACCUGAUCAGGGCUGUGCAAGCCCGACCUGACCCAUGACCUGAGGCUGACCCACAACCUGAGGACAAGGGAAGAGAAGACACUAGGGCCUGGCCAAGGUCUCUGGGAAAAUAAAUAGGCCUAUCUGUUGUCCUUUGACCUGCACAUACUGUUCUUUUGCAGGGAAAACAGACCCUGUAUUUUUGGGAUUCCUGAAAGGUGACCAGGUGAGAGCAAAGCCCAACUUCCUGGGGAAAAGCUCUCAGCGCAGUGAAUGCUACAUUCGGAGGUAGGAAGGCUCUGGAUGUGAGUCUUCAUGUUUGUUUUUUGUUUUUUGUUUUUUUUUCUCUAAAAUUACCAAAAAAGAGGAAUAUCCACAGAAGCAGAAGUAGGAAUGGGGAAGGAGGGGACAAGUUUAGACCAAGCUCUUCUGUGACCUCACUUCUGCUUUUGAAGUCCCACAGCUCUAUAAGGAUUCCUAAAACUGGACAUGGUGGCUGUAGGAGGAUGCGCCUCUUUCAGUCAUUGGAUUUCCCCUGGAAAGACAGAAUGAAUUCACAUUCUCACCUGCAGUGGGUGAGAAGUCCCUUUUCCCCCACUUCCUUGCCAAAAAUGGAUAUUAUCAUUCCUUUUCAUCUUUGCCAGUCUGGAAGUUAUGUGCAACUGAACACAAGAAUUACAGAAGAGGCCGGGCGUGGUGGCUCACGCCUGUAAUCCCAACACUUUGGGAGGCUGAGGCGGGCAGAUCACUUGAGGCCAGGAGUUUGAAACCAGCCUUGGCAACAUGAUGAAAACCUGUCUCUACCAAAACACACACACACACACACACACUAGCCAGAUAUUGUGACACACACCUGUGGUCCCAGCUACUCGGGAGACUGAAGUGGGAGGAUCACUUGAGCCCAGGAGGUUGAGGCUGU
rnacentral:lncRNA from 1 species